rnacentral:rRNA from 1 species
UGGGGAAUUUUGCACAAUGGGGGAAACCCUGAUGCAGCGACGCCGCGUGAUUUAGAAGGCCUUCGGGUUGUAAAAAUCUUUUCUAUGGGAAGAAAAUGACAGUACCAUAGGAAUAAGGACCGGCUAAUUACGUGCCAGAAGCCGCGGUAAUACGUAAGGUCCGAGCGUUGUCCGGAAUCAUUGGGCGUAAAGGGUACGUAGGCGGGUAAGCAAGUUAGAAGUGAAAUCCUAUAUCUCAACUAUAGUAAGAUUUUAAAACUGCUCAUCUUGAGGUAUGGAAGGGAAAGUGGAAUUCCUAGUGUAGCGGUGAAAUGCGCAGAUAUUAGGAGGAAUACCGGUGGCGAAGGCGACUUUCUGGCCAUAACCUGACGCUGAGGUACGAAAGCGUGGGUAGCAAACAGG